GACGAACGCUGGCGGCGUGCCUAAUACAUGCAAGUCGAGCGAAUCAAUAGGAGCUUGCUCCUGUUGAUUAGCGGCGGACGGGUGAGUAACACGUGGGCAACCUGCCUGUAAGAUCGGGAUAACUUCGGGAAACCGGAGCUAAUACCGGAUAAUCCUUUUCCACAUAUGUGGGAAAGCUGAAAGACGGUUUCGGCUGUCACUUACAGAUGGGCCCGCGGCGCAUUAGCUAGUUGGUGAGGUAACGGCUCACCAAGGCGACGAUGCGUAGCCGACCUGAGGGGGGGAUCGGCCACACUGGGACUGAGACACGGCCCAGACUCCUACGGGAGGCAGCAGUAGGGAAUCUUCCGCAAUGGACGAAAGUCUGACGGAGCAACGCCGCGUGAGCGAUGAAGGCCUUCGGGUCGUAAAGCUCUGUUGUUAGGGAAGAACAAGUAUCGGAGUAACUGCCGGUACCUUGACGGUACCUAACCAGAAAGCCACGGCUAACUACGUGCCAGCCGCCGCGGUAA
rnacentral:rRNA from 1 species